rnacentral:rRNA from 1 species
CUACGGGAGGCAGCAGUGAGGAAUAUUGCACAAUGGGGGGAACCCUGAUGCAGCAACGCCGCGUGGAGGAUGACGCAUUUCGGUGUGUAAACUCCUUUUAUAUAUCAAGAAAAUGACGGUAGCAUAUGAAUAAGCACCGGCUAACUCCGGCCAGCAGCCGCGGUAAUACGGAGGGUGCAAGCGUUACUCGGAAUCACUGGGCGUAAAGGACGCGUAGGCGGGUUGGAAAGUCAGGUGUGAAAUCCUACAGCUUAACUGUAGAACUGCACUUGAAACUUCUAAUCUAGAGUAUGGGAGGGGGAGAUGGAAUUAGUGGUGUAAGGGUAAAAUCCGUAGAUAACACUAGGAAUACCUAAAGCGAAGGCGAUCUCCUGGAACAUUACUGACGCUAAGGCGUGAAAGCGUGGGGAGCAAACAGGAUUAGAUACCCUUGUAGUC